rnacentral:rRNA from 1 species
UACGGAGGAUGCAAGCGUUAUCCGGAAUUAUUGGGCGUAAAGCGUCCGCAGGUGGCAAUGUAAGUCUGCUGUUAAAGAGUCUAGCUCAACUAGAUAAGAGCAGUGGAAACUACAUAGCUAGAGUACGUUCGGGGCAGAGGGAAUUCCUGGUGUAGCGGUGAAAUGCGUAGAGAUCAGGAAGAACACCAGUGGCGAAGGCGCUCUGCUAGGCCGUAACUGACACUGAGGGACGAAAGCUAGGGGAGCGAAUGGG